UUUCAUAUCUCGCCCAUAGGCCCUCGACAACUUGUAAUCGAGUACCUUUGGCGAUAUGUGGAGCG
rnacentral:pre_miRNA from 1 species